GUGUGCCUUAAGUGGAAGGAGACCAGCUGGAAACUGGCGGAUAUUCAGUAUCUCCUGAAUGAGAAAGAAAAUUGAGGAAGGUCAUUGAAUACAUUUGGUGGAGGAGGAUGGGUGAAGAGUUUUAGGCUGGCAAACUGGAAGAUACUAUUGCUUCUAGUAAUGGAGGCUGAAAUGACCUCACAGAACAAACCACAUUCAAAGGAUGCCAUGAAUGACUUCAGACAGAAAAACUUUUAUUGGGGGGCUCUAGAAAUGAUGAGUCUUGCCUUUGAGAUUAAACCUCCACUUUGCGCAAAAUAUUGUGGAAGAUACAAAGAGGAGCUCUCCAGUUUCAAGCUAUAUUGACAAAACAACAGAACUUAUGAAGAAGAGGAGAAUCAUUCAACCUUUGCAGUAACAGUUCUGUACCGUGAUUCUGGGGGUGGUUAUGCAAUCUACACACCUGUGAUAAAAUGGCAGAGAACUAUACACACACAUUGUACUGAUGUCAAUUUCCUGGUUUUAAUAUUGUAUUAAAGUUAUGUAGGAUGUAACCAAUAGGGGAAACUGGGUAAAACGUACAGUGCCCUCUCUACGAUUUUUGCAGCUUCCUGUAAACUACAAUAUGCCAAAAGCAUCCUAAGGACUUGCCAGCAGUUCAAGGGCUCACAAUAAUCCUAUGAAGUAGGUACUAUUUUUAUCCCCAGUCUAUUGAUGGGGAAGCUGAGGUACAGACAUUUUAAAUGAUUUGCCCAAGGUCACAUAGCUAGUAACUGGCAAAGUCAGGGUUUGGACACAGGUGGUAUGACUCUAAAUUUUUGAUUUCUGUGGAAGUCUGAGGAGCCACUAAAGGAUCACAGGCAAAGUAUGGCUGACAAUCAAAUUCACAUUUUAUUUUGGCAAGAUACUCCAAGUAGGAGUUUAGAAUGACUAAUGAAAAAAACUUCAAACAAGAUUAGUUAAGAUACUGAUGCAAUAAACCAGAAAUGAUGAAGGCGUGAAAUAAGAGAACAUUAAUAGAAAGAAAUGUA